rnacentral:rRNA from 1 species
GACGGAAGGUGCAAGCGUUGCUCGGAAUCACUGGGCGUAAAGGGUGCGUAGGCGGCCUGGUAAGUCUGGCGUGAAAGCCCAGGGCUCAGCCCUGGAAGGCGGGUGGAUACUGUCGAGCUCGAGUCCGGAAGAGGCGAGUGGAAUUCCUGGUGUAGCGGUGAAAUGCGCAGAUAUCAGGAGGAACACCGGUGGCGAAGGCGGAUCUCUGGGCCUGUCCUGACGCUGAGGCGCGAAAGCUAGGGGAGCGAACAGG